ensembl:misc_RNA
AAAGCCUGACAGGUUUCUCCGGGAAAGUGACCAUCCAUGGAAUGAAUGAAAUGUUCCCUUUCUAUUCCU